UGCGUGACCAACCUGCCCCAUGCUUCGGAAUAGCUCCUGGAAACGGGUGGUAAUGCCGGAUGAUCCGCACUGUCGCAUGAUGGUGUGGGAAAGGGUUUACCGGCAUGGGAUGGGGUCGCGUCCUAUCAGCUUGUUGGCGGGGUGAUGGCCUGCCAAGGCUUCGACGGGUAGCCGGCCUGAGAGGGCGACCGGCCACAUUGGGACUGAGAUACGGCCCAGACUCCUACGGGAGGCAGCAGUGGGGAAUAUUGCACAAUGGGCGAAAGCCUGAUGCAGCGACGCCGCGUGCGGGAUGACGGCCUUCGGGUUGUAAACCGCUUUU
rnacentral:rRNA from 1 species